UGGCGGCACUAGCGCGGUGGUCCCACCUGACCCCAUGCCGAACUCAGAAGUGAAACGCCGUAGCGCCGAUGGUAGUGUGGGGUCUC
rnacentral:rRNA from 1 species